UACGGGAGGCAGCAGUGGGGAAUAUUGGACAAUGGGCGCAAGCCUGAUCCAGCCAUACCGCGUGGGUGAAGAAGGCCUUCGGGUUGUAAAGCCCUUUUGUUGGGAAAGAAAUCCAGCCGGCUAAUACCUGGUUGGGAUGACGGUACCCAAAGAAUAAGCACCGGCUAACUUCGUGCCAGCAGCCGCGGUAAUACGAAGGGUGCAAGCGUUACUCGGAAUUACUGGGCGUAAAGCGUGCGUAGGUGGUCGUUUUAAGUCUGUUGUGAAAGCCCUGGGCUCAACCUGGGAACUGCAGUGGAAACUGGACGACUAGAGUGUGGUAGAGGGUAGCGGAAUUCCUGGUGUAGCAGUGAAAUGCGUAGAGAUCAGGAGGAACAUCCAUGGCGAAAGGCAGCUACCUGGACCAACACUGACACUGAGGCACGAAAGCGUGGGGAGCAAACAGGGAUUAGAUACC
rnacentral:rRNA from 1 species